rnacentral:rRNA from 9 species
AGUCCUUUAGAUAUGAAACUCAUUUGGGUGAGAGUAGUAAUAGGAUGGGUGACCUCCUGGGAAUUCCUCAUGAAAGGGUUU